rnacentral:rRNA from 1 species
GUGGGGAAUAUUGGACAAUGGGCGAAAGCCUGAUCCAGCCAUGCCGCGUGUGUGAAGAAGGUCUUCGGAUUGUAAAGCACUUUAAGUUGGGAGGAAGGGCAGUAAGUUAAUACCUUGCUGUUUUGACGUUACCGACAGAAUAAGCACCGGCUAACUUCGUGCCAGCAGCCGCGGUAAUACGAAGGGUGCAAGCGUUAAUCGGAAUUACUGGGCGUAAAGCGCGCGUAGGUGGUUCAGUAAGUUGGAAGUGAAAUCCCCGGGCUCAACCUGGGAACUGCUUUCAAAACUGCUGAGCUAGAGUACGGUAGAGGGUGGUGGAAUUUCCUGUGUAGCGGUGAAAUGCGUAGAUAUAGGAAGGAACACCAGUGGCGAAGGCGACCACCUGGACUGAUACUGACACUGAGGUGCGAAAGCGUGGGGAGCAAACAGGAUUAGAUACCCCUGUAGUCC